UUGGUGUAAUAGGUUCAAUCUGAAGUUUGUUGUAAUGAGAUAAGAGUACGACUCGUUUCUUGGAUUAUCCAUAAAAACAGGAGCCUAGGGGUCGACGGCUUAGGCCAAUGCAUUUGCUGCCAGCCAAAACCCUAGGCCAACACACCCACGCGAUCCGAUCUAGCACCCACGCUUGUAGUGAAUGGAAGAGCUUUGACUAAUGGCGACACCAACAGGCUCGGGGUUCGAUCCUCCUCCUCUGCAAGACAAUGGAGGCAACACCGGCGACAAGGAUCCUCGACCACCAUCGCGACAGAAUAUGGCAGGAGGAGGUGGGACUGUGAUGCGAUGCAAGAUACCGUCGCAAUCGUGAACAACAACUAAUGUAUGUUCACCAAAAACUCUCAGUAGAUUAGAUCUACUCAUCGUCGAGGGUAUUUACUAAUACAUAUUGAUAUUUUAGGGGUUUAGGUGUGAUCCUAGACACCCACAGUUUCUAUCACAAAGAACAUUUUCAUAAUGUUUUAAAUGCAGUAUGUGGAACAUUUUCAUGAUAUUUUAGUGGUUAUUUCUGAUAUGCAUGGGUAACAUGGUUACACUGAUAAGAAAGAUAAUUAGUUUUGGAACCUUCAAACUAUAGGGUACUAGUUAUCAACGUACUAGUGGUAUAGUACAAAUUAGGACACAUAUCAGCGCUUGAUCAUCAGUUUCUUCAAUGGUUUUAGGGGAACCGACAUAACAAAAUGGUACAUAUGUUUGCAUAGUGGGGGAGAUGGAAUUACAGCUGCUUGCCUAGAGGAGCUUUGAUAACAAAAUAGCAUUACCUACUCACUAUGAACUCAGAGGUUUCAAUAUCUUGGGCUUUCUUGGUGCUUGUAUUAGCAGACAAGAGCCCCAAGAAGGCUGGCUACGUCGUCAUCCUCGUGGAGUUCCUGCUGGCUCGGCUCCAGCUCCUCUUGCACUAGUAGUGAAGAAGGGUAGUGUCAAAAUAUUCAGAGAUUGUUGUAUAUCCAUCACCUCUAGUGUUAGCAUAGCCGUAUGCCAGCAUUUUUGGUAUUAUCGUCUGUUGUCGGAAACCAAAGAGUUGAUUUUUCAUGGAUAAAAGAUGAAAUAUAGAUACCGAGCUAGAUGUUUUUGUCCCACCUAGAUUUUUUGAUUUUAUCGGUACUUUUGAACUUUUGUGGUCUUGCCUUCCCGGCGGCGACCCAUACGCAGACUAGCCAAAGAAACCUGAGUAUGAGUACAACGGCUAGUUUGUCUCUUCCAAUGUUGUGGCUUUUCUUAUUUUAGAUUUAAGUUUGUCAUUGUUGUAUGAAUGUGUCACAUUUAGGAUAACAGAGUAAUUAUUAUAUAUCUCAUGGCCUAUAUUUAGUUAUUUACUAGUGUCAUUUUGAACCAUAAUAAAUGGUUGUAUGAACAUGUCAUGAUUAUGAAAUUAUCUAUUUGCACUCAAACUAAAUGCAUGAUGGAGCCACUCUAUUCUUUUUCACUCUGAAACCAAAAACCGCUCCGUUUUGUUUUACUCAAACCAAACAAAAAGUAGAGCAAUUCCGUUCUAACUCAGAAUCUUGACCAAAACCGCUCCGUCCAAAUAGACUCUGGAAACAAACACUACCAUACUAAACGAACUACUCUGCAGAAGCUGGAGACAGGACGUAACAUGUUGCCUAGCUGGCUGCAUUGUGG
rnacentral:lncRNA from 1 species